rnacentral:rRNA from 1 species
UGGGGAAUAUUGGACAAUGGGCGCAAGCCUGAUCCAGCCAUGCCGCGUGAGUGACGAAGGCCUUAGGGUUGUAAAGCUCUUUUGGCGGGGACGAUAAUGACGGUACCCGCAGAAUAAGCUCCGGCUAACUUCGUGCCAGCAGCCGCGGUAAUGCGAAGGGAGCUAGCGUUGUUCGGAAUCACUGGGCGUAAAGCGCACGUAGGCGGAUUAUUAAGUCAGGGGUGAAAUCCCGGGGCUCAACCUCGGAACUGCCUCUGAUACUGAUAGUCUCGAGUCCGGAAGAGGUGGGUGGAAUUCCUAGUGUAGAGGUGAAAUUCGUAGAUAUUAGGAAGAACACCGGUGGCGAAGGCGGCCCACUGGUCCGGUACUGACGCUGAGGUGCGAAAGCGUGGGGAGCAAACAGGAUUAGAUACCCAUGUAGUCCCUGAGCGGGCUGGCAAGGCGCAU